rnacentral:rRNA from 1 species
UCGGGAAUAUUGCGCAAUGGAGGAAACUCUGACGCAGUGACGCCGCGUAUAGGAAGAAGGUUUUCGGAUUGUAAACUAUUGUCCACAGGGAAGAUAAAAGACUGUACCUGUGAAGAAAGCUCCGGCUAACUACGUGCCAGCAGCCGCGGUAAUACGUAGGGAGCAAGCGUUAUCCGGAAUUAUUGGGUGUAAAGGGUGCGUAGACGGGAUAACAAGUUGGUUGUGAAACCCCUCGGCUUAACUGAGGAACUGCAACCAAAACUAUUAUUCUUGAGUGCAGGAGAGGAAAGUGGAAUUCCUAGU